rnacentral:other from 1 species
AAAUUCCUGGGGUGUGCGAUACUCCCGUUAUUUUGAACCUACAUUUACUUUUCAUGGGAUUCUUAUAUCGCUGUUUUUAAUGUCAGGCCCCCUUAAUUGCCAGGGGAAGGCAGAGAAAGCAGCUGCGGUUACCCACCUAGCUUGGCUAGGAGUCAAAAUAUGGGAAACGGCACUUUGGGAAUAAA